rnacentral:misc_RNA from 1 species
GGAGCAUUACGCAUCAAACAACGGAAAUACGAAAAAAAAUGGCUAUAUAUCAGUGAAACAAUAGUGGAAAGCUAAUGAACUUGUCAGCUUAGUUUCAUCUAUACAUACUCAUAGAAGGCCACCUCAGGCUGUUAUUUAAAAUUCUCAUUACAUUUCUUAGAACUUCCGAAAACCAAGUAACUACCUUCUGAAUUUCGGGGAAUAUUUUGAUAGAGC